AUCCUGGCUCAGGACGAACGCUGGCGGCGUGCUUAACACAUGCAAGUCGAACGAUGAAGGAGGAGCUUGCUCCUCUGGAUUAGUGGCGAACGGGUGAGUAACACGUGAGCAAUGUGCCCUUGACUCUGGAAUAAGCGCUGGAAACGGCGUCUAAUACUGGAUACGACCUUCGGAGGCAUCUCCUGGGGGUGGAAAGAACUUCGGUCAAGGAUCAGCUCACGGCCUAUCAGUUAGUUGGUGAGGUAAUGGCUCACCAAGACGACGACGGGUAGCCGGCCUGAGAGGGUGACCGGCCACACUGGGACUGAGACACGGCCCAGACUCCUACGGGAGGCAGCAGUGGGGAAUAUUGCACAAUGGGCGCAAGCCUGAUGCAGCAACGCCGCGUGAGGGACGAAUGCCUUCGGGUUGUAAACCUCUUUUAGCAGGGAAGAAGCGAGAGUGACGGUACCUGCAGAAAAAGCACCGGCUAA
rnacentral:rRNA from 1 species